rnacentral:rRNA from 1 species
AUGAUUGACACAAACUACCAAAUCAUGUGCUGGAACGUGCGAGGGCUCAACUCGCCGGCCCGGCGACCUGUUGUGUGCGAGACGGCAGAGACACACAAGCUGGCCCUUCUCUGCCUGCAAGAGACCAAGAUCGACGAAUGGAACAGAUCGUUAGUUAGAGAUGUUGGCGGGAGUAGGCUAGCCGACUGCGUCGUUCUCCCGGCGACUGGCACUCGUGGAGGCGUAGCAAUUUUCUGGGACAAAAGCCGCGUAGCCGUGCAGUCCCAUGCCAUCGGCCAUUUCUCCAUCACGGCCAAGGUUACCGUAGCUGCUUCAGCUUCAUCCUUUUGGAUGACAACCGUCUAUGGGCCUGUCGACGAGGGGAGGAAAGAUGAGUUCCUGGCCGAACUUGCUCGAGCUGCACCACCGACGGACGCCCCCUGGCUAAUCAAUGGCGACUUCAACCUAAUCUACGAGGCGCGCGACAAGAACAACAGCAACAUAAACCGCCGAAUCAUGGGCAAAUUCAGAGCGGCGAUCGACGCGGCAGGCUUGAAAGAGAUCAAGUGC